AACUCACCCCACUCGAUAGGUGUCUCCGCCGUUCUCGCGGCGGGGGUGAAAAGGGAAGCCGGUGAGAAUCCGGCGCAGGGCCGCUGCUGUAUUCGGCCGGGAACGGGCACAAUGCCACUGCGGAGCACCGCGGGAAGGCCGCUCGAACCCGACAAAAGGCCGUAAGCCAGAAGACCUGCCUGUCGUGAUCGUCGUUC
rnacentral:ncRNA from 2 species